rnacentral:lncRNA from 1 species
AGAAACAGUUCAGCCCAGAAUGAAGAAUGAGGCCAACUGAGAGAACACAAAAAUGGAUUUCAUGGAGGAUGGUUGCCAUCUCUGAUUGGCCAAUGAUUUCUCCGUCCGAUGAAAACUAACAACCCUCCUUAUCAAAAAUUCCAAAAAAAGAAAAAAAAAAUUAAUACUUCCUUUGUUCCAUUUUUACUAGGUUUUGCAAAAUGUCCACAAAUUGCUGUAGAAAAGAUGGAAAGAGGCAGUGAUGACAUUGCUGUGUGAUGAUUCUGGGCUGAAAUUUGGGGCAUGGAGAAAACCCGACUCGUAUCUUGGCGGGGCAAAACCAGAAUCAUGCAAAACCGGUUCAUUUUUUUUUUUUUUGCAGCCAUGGCGAUUGUUGUCUUCUUCUCCUCUUGCCCCCAUUUUACACAGAUCUGAGCCUCAUUUUCAAAUUCGGAUGGAAACCCAGUUCAUUUAGCUCAAAAGACUGAGGCAAUCGGAGAAAAUGGGGAUUUUUUUUUCAUCUCCGAUGGUUUGUGAUUGAGUCUUCUCUUUCACAUGCAACUGGUUCUUUUGCAGCCAUGGCGGUUGUUGCCUUCUCUCUGCCCCAAUUUUUUGCAGAUCUGAGCCUCAAUUUCCAACUAGUCCAACUGGAUGUCCCAGGACUCAAAGAGUUUUGAACCUAAAUGAUGAUAAAACCCCAUGUAUGCACACACACAAAAAAAACACUUGAUGAGAAAAUGUCAAAAUGGUCCCUUAUCAGUGCAAUGAUGAUCUUUCAAUCUGUCCUCUUUAGCUAGUAAUUGAGCAUUUAGAGUACCUGGCCAGUAUCUUGGCGGGGCAAUGACCCGGAUGCCUGUGAUUUUGUUGCAUGCAACUUGGAAAUAUUUGCAGCCAUCGUAUGACUGGACUCCGACUUUCUUUACCUGAGCAUAAGAUGGAUCUGAGCCUCAAUUCACUUGUGGGUGUAUUUGGAAUGAAGGAAAAUGUUUUAGUGUUCACUACAAUAAAAGAGACAUUUUGUGGCAAUAGAAUUCCUCUUGCUGGCAAUAUUUAUGGCUGCAAAAACAUUUUGCUGCAAAUUAAGUUAAUGCCAUUGCAUCUUAAGUCGCUAGUGUCUUAAGUGACGUUUAUAUAGAGUGAUGUUUAUAAAUACUCAUAUAGGUUAUUGCCGCCAAAUAUAUUCUAGUAGCGAUUAUAUCAUUGCUGCUAAAUAAUUGCCACAAAAUUCUCUGUUUGUUGUAGUAGAAUCAGCCGUAAAGUGGCUAUCUUGUGUAUAACACCAUACUUAAAUGUGAUCCCAUUGUGGUCUGGAAAGUGGCUACCUUGUGUCAUCUCUACAAAUAAUAAGACCUUCGACAUGAGGCCCAUAAUGAGGCUGUGAUGAUUUUCAUUCUUUACUCAUCAGAUGGUUGAGCUUCAGUAUAUCUUGGCUUGGCAUCUUUUUGGGGGUCUUGCGAGAUAUUGGAGCUAUUUGGGUUUCUACUUCUUACAAAGACUCCUUAAGAUUGCAGCCAUGGUGGGGUUUAGCUUAUGUUUGAGAAAAGGCGAAUCUGAGCCUCCCGAAUCUCUGUUUGUAUAAAACAAUGAGGCUCUUUAUGCUACCCAACUUAUGCUGCAUAACUUAAUCCGUAUGGAACUUAGGCUAAGCGAGACGAAAGGUUCUCCAAACUUAUGCAGAAACAAGAGCUCCUGAUUUUGGGGAAAUCCGUGCUAAAACUUGUUAAUUUAAUGCAUUGAGAAAAUCUGACCUGUAUCUUGGCAGGGCAACCUGGUAUGACAUCAUCGGUAAACUGGCGUUUGCAGCCAUGGCAUUGUUCCUUUCUCUUUGCAUCUUCAUAUACAACAACAUAUGAGCACUAAAGUUGAUGGUAAAUUAUUUCUCAGAUGGUCACUUAACUUAAUGCGGGUACUCAGGAACCUAAAUACCCUAUAGGGUUCAGUCCGAGCAACAUAGAAUCAUUCAAUGAGGCAAUGAAGACAAUCUUUAAGAAUCAGAUAGUUGAACUUUGUUGUAACUUGGUGUGGCAGCUCUAAGGGUCUUUGAGGUAAGAGAACUGUAUUGGUUUUCAUCUCACGAGGCUAUUAAUGCUUUGCUUGCAGCCAUGGCAUAGUAUAGCUUUUUCCUGAGAAAAAGCAAAUCUGAGCCUCCCAAGUAUCUGUUGUGUUUGAGAAUGAGGCUUUUUAUUGAACUCAGGAAUGGUAGAGAUUUUCUAAGGGCGGUUAACUCUUUCUCCUAAGUUCAAUUUUGCCAAUGAAUUUUCCUGUGCUUUUGUAUAAAGUUUACAGCUCUCUCAAUUAGCAGAGCGCUCUUCAUGAUGAUGAUGAUGCUGAUUGAUUGCCAUGAUUAUGGUAAUAAUAAAGGAAAAUACAGUUUUGCCCCUUUAACUUGUGCAAAACCCUGAACUAAACUUUUUGAAUAAGGCUUUGAUGAUAUUUGCCAAGAAGCUCGAAAAUGAGAUUUUAAAACUGAUUCAUAUCUUGUCUAGACAAAGGCAUUUGUGAGGAUGCUUUUUGCAGCCAUGGUGGAUUGGCUCUUUUUUCUGAUUGAUUUUCACUCAAAUCUGAGCCUCUUUCUGUUUAAAGUAUAGUUCUACAAUAUUUAGUCUUUCUUUUUCAUUCAUGGUACGAUCAGUUCAUAUAAGGAAGAGUCCCCUUUGAGAAAGAAGCUUUUAAUGUGUCCAUCUAUACAAUUUCUCCAAAUUGUUAGGUACGUACUGAUAUGAGACAAGGCCAAAGGGAAUGGAAGUGAAUAUUGAGGAUCCGUAUAUUGUUGCUGCAUUUUACUUUUUUGAUCAAGAUUUGUUGCUGCAUUUUUGCACAUUCAAACUUGGAUGUCUUGUUUUAAUCUUGAACGCUCCAAAAUUCAGAGGCAGUGAAGAUUAUUCAUAAUGAAAAUGAAAAGUGAAAAAAAUUAGAGUUGAUUCGUGACCUGGCUUGGCGAGUUCAAUCGGAAGGUCUUAUAAGGCAACUGUUGCUUGAAGCCAGGGCACUGUUCCAACUCUGCUCUUCCUUUUCUUUGAUUAAAUAGGCGAAAAUCUGAGCCUCGUUCUUUGCUUUGUGCAUUUACUUUUUUUUUUACCAGCCUUUCUGGAAAGAGAUUUAGAUUACCAUCGCUCAGUUUCAAAAAAAAAAGAGAAUAGAUUUAGAUUACCAUCACUGUGGAACUUCUGAAAUCAACAGCUCCAUCUGCCAAUGCCAAAAGCCAAAAGUAAAUAAAAAAAAAAGGAUUCUGCAUUAAGUACAUGCAUUUGUACAAUCUUGAUUUGGUUGACGGAAAUUGGAUCCUCCGCAUACAUGAAAAGGUAAUCAUUUUUACCUACAAUUUGUUUUUCUGUUGGUGGAAUAUUGUCAAACUUGACAUGAAUAAUAUUGAAGUACUGUAUGAUUAUUAUGUACUGUAGGUGCAUUGCUAUCUAAAAAGCAUGUUUAAGUAAAUUUGUGCAACUAUCAAUAGUGUCAAUCACUGCUAUUGAAUGCCAACUAAUUCAAUUAUUAGAUGGAAUGACAGUUUAUAUGCAUCCACAAAUCAAGAACUAUUGCUUUGUUCUUAAUUGUUAGUAUAUGCUAUGAAAUGCUCCAUUUACAAUAUAUCUGUUGACAAAUUAUGUGCUUUUUUGGGGGUCAUUUUUUGUUGUUGUAAUUGCAGCAUCCACUGAAUCAGUGACGUAGCCGGAAUAAGCUAAGCACAUACUCACAUGUCCGCUACCUAAACUUGGAACUGUUGGGAAAUUAUUGAUCAAAAGCACCAUAUUGGCCAAGUUAAUGGUGUAUUCUCAUUCCUGAUUAGAGGUACCAGAUGGGCAAAUUAAUUGGUAGGUGAGCACUUUUAACACUUGUUAUUAUAUAUAUUAGUCAAUGUCUUAGAAGGUAUUAAUGUCCCUGAAACACUUUCAAUGCCUUUUGAGGAAGUUUGAUAAUCAGUAGCUAUUUAAUUUGAGAAAGAAUAUUUUAAUACAAUUAAUUUAAAGACAAUUUAAGAUUUUUAUUUUUUUUAACUUUAUUAUUUUUAUUCUUAUUAACACAUAAAGAAACCUACAAUCAAUUGGAAAACAAAAAAUUUGACACGUUAGAUAUAUCUUUUAAUUUAUUUAAUUAUAAUUAUCAUAUGUUGUUAUUUGUCUUAAAUCUUUGUUAUUCUUUCAUUAAUAAUUUGUUCUUAAAAAUAUUACAUAUGUUAUUAAAAUUUGGUUCAACAAUUAGAUACAACGUUCUCAUAUUUUUUAAAUAUUAACUGUGCAUUGGAAUUCAACCCUACCAAAUCCUAAUUGAAGAAUGAAUUGGUCAAAGCAAUAAAUAUAGAGAGAAGAGGAAGCUCCAAAUGACCCAAAAGAAUAGGUUUGUACCCCUAACAUUCAAACGUAUUGUUUUAUAAUGUAUCGUAUUACAUAUUUAUAUUAUUUUGAUGAGUAUAACUGUUGGAUAGAACAAUAAUUCGAAGAAUAAAUCUAUUAGAAAAAUGAAUUAAACCUAAGCUACUAUGAUUUUCUUUUUUUGAAUUUGCAAGGGAAAGCUGUCAAAGACAGGAAAGCUGAUGGAUGUUGAUAAUCAUCAGAUGAGGUGUACGGAGAGAUACAGUUGCUAGAGCCAAUGAUGGAAAAUGUCAAAGGUUUCACCAACCAUGGAGUUUCAAUAUUAGGAGGAAUGCUUUGCUUUUAUUACACUCAUGCUCCUUCUAACUCGAGAGAGACUACUCUUAAGUUAUGGGUAAUGAAGGAUUACAGUGUCAAAGGAGUCUUGGAUACCAUUAUAUAUACUAUACAAGAUAACGUUUUGCAUUUACUUAGACCGAUAUAUAUGUUUGCAGAUGGUGAAGUGCUACUCAACUACAGAUGUAUAGACCAAGUAGGGUUUAACUUCCCGUUUAGGACAUCCAAAGGACCACUAAAAUUAUGGCACAAAUAUAAUAUCCUAAAGCAAGGAAUUAUUUAUACGAUCUCUCCAAAAUCACUUAUUAGCGCUUGCUUAUGUAUGAUAGACAUUUUUUAAUUUUAUCGGUUUUCGAGUAUAUCAUGUAACAAACUCUUAAUUUUGAUAAGUUUAUCUAUUGCACACUAAUUUUUGU